UUAGUCUUCAUUCCAAUAUUGGAUACCUAUGCAGGCAGACCUAUAGGACAACUGCUGGAAAAUUAAAGGGAUAUUUUUAUCCUAAGUUUACAAGUGGAUCCCUUCUGUUGGACUUCACUGAUACUUUGAAAAACUGAGGAAAUGCCAACCCAAUGAGCCAAGAAAAAUGAAUGAAAUAUAUAUCUACAUGCUGGAGAAGAAUAUAAUUCAUUAGGUGGCCUAUAAUAAGGAAUCCCAAUAAACGCUAUCAUAUUCUGGGAAUAAUUUUCUUCAAGUUUUUUCAACUUGGUAAUAAAUAUUUUUCAGUACAACUUUGGUUCAAUUAGAACUUCAUACCUUUUGAAUACUACAGUUAUUCCAAUAUAAACAGAGAGCUGUUAUU